GAUGAACGCUGGCGGCGUGCCUAAUACAUGCAAGUCGAGCGAACAGACGAGGAGCUUGCUCCUCUGACGUUAGCGGCGGACGGGUGAGUAACACGUGGAUAACCUACCUAUAAGACUGGGAUAACUUCGGGAAACCGGAGCUAAUACCGGAUAAUAUAUUGAACCGCAUGGUUCAAUAGUGAAAGACGGUUUUGCUGUCACUUAUAGAUGUAUCCGCGCCGCAUUAGCUAGUUGGUAAGGUAACGGCUUACCAAGGCAACGAUGCGUAGCCGACCUGAGAGGGUGAUCGGCCACACUGGAACUGAGACACGGUCCAGACUCCUACGGGAGGCAGCAGUAGGGAAUCUUCCGCAAAGGGCGAAAGCCUGACGGAGCAACGCCGCGUGAGUGAUGAAGGUCUUCGGAUCGUAAAACUCUGUUAUUAGGGAAGAACAAAUGUGUAAGUAACUAUGCACGUCUUGACGGUACCUAAUCAGAAAGCCACGGCUAACUACGUG
rnacentral:rRNA from 1 species